CCUACGGGUGGCAGCAGUCGAGAAUCAUUCACAAUGGGGGAAACCCUGAUGGUGCGACGCCGCGUGGGGGAAUGAAGGUCUUCGGAUUGUAAACUCCUGUCAUGUGGGAGCAAAUUAAAAAGAUAGUACCACAAGAGGAAGAGACGGCUAACUCUGUGCCAGCAGCCGCGGUAAUACAGAGGUCUCAAGCGUUGUUCGGAAUCACUGGGCGUAAGGCGUGCGUAGGCUGUAUCGUAAGUCGUGUGUGAAAGGCGCGGGCUCAACCCGCAGACGGCACAUGAUACUGCGAGACUAGAGUAAUGGAGGGGGAACCGGAAUUCUCGGUGUAGCAGUGAAAUGCGUAGAUAUCGAGAGGAACACUCGUGGCGAAGGCGGGUUCCUGGACAUUAACUGACGCUGAGGCACGAAGGCCAGGGGAGCGAAAGGGAUUAGAUACCCCAGUAGUC
rnacentral:rRNA from 1 species